AGCUGAGUGGCGCAGCGGAAGCGCGUAAGUUAAACACCUCUCCAACAGCAUCCUCCAAAAAUUAACAAUCAUCACAGGCCGGGCUCAUAACCCGGAGGGCCUCGGAUCGAAACUGAGCUUAGCUA